CCUCAAAGUUGUAACAGGGGAGGCUCCUGAGAGUCCCAAGUUCCAGGCCUUGCCUUGCAGGGGGCCUGCAAAAUGGCUACAUGAAUGGAGAUGAGUGUUUCGAGGUCAUGGGGCUGCUGGAUGAUGGAUCUCAGGCUUGGAUGAGCAAGCCACACAAUACAAUACAUUCCUUUGCCAGCAGAUCUGUUACUAAAGGAAUUCAUGCAUCUUGCAUCUUGAAGAUGCAUUAUUAAUGCCUGGACAAAUCACAUCAGGUGAAACGCAGCAAGUCCCUGGCACUGAAAAAAAGGAACAAAGGCUGGUUCUACAAGAGAGGGAUGGAUGAGACAAAUUAUAACAGCUGGGAGUUUCUUAUCCAAGGGAAAGAUUGAAGGCAGGAGGAGAAGGGGACGACAGAGGAUGAGAUGGGUGGAUGGCAUCACCAUCUCGAUGGACAUGAGUUUGGAUCAUGGGGAAGGGGUCGAAGAGCAGGAGGAAGAGCUGUGGGAGGACCUUUCUGCUCACGUCUCUGGGGAACUGCACCAGCCCACAGAACACUUCGAUGCUGGACCGUGGUUUCUGGACGUCUUUGGAAACUUGAUCUCUUCCUUAUGUUAUGUAGUAUGUCUUUUUUCCUCUGCUUGAUUUAAAAACUUUUUUUCUCUUUAUUACUGGUUUUCAGUUAUUUGAUUAUGAUGUGCUUUGUGUGAUAUUCUGCUUGAGGUUCAUCAUACUUACUGUAU
ensembl:lncRNA